GGAAGGGAUGUAGCUCAGUGGUCGAGCAUCUGCUUUUCGUGCAGAAGGCUCCAGGUUCAAUUCCCGGCAUUUCCA